ACAUGGCCGUUGUGCCAAUCCAAUUAAAAUAUUCAACAAAAUUCCAUAUAACCCUGUCUUAUGUUUAAACCCCGUCUUAAAAUCAAUUCCUCACCCUUUAAACGGUGUUCCCUAUAUAUGCACCUUUAGACGGUGUUUUUGAACACCGUCUUAUGGCUCAUCCUAACAAUUAUCACCCAUUCUACCCUAACAUACUAUCAUUUGUUCAAGCAAAACCCUAGCCUCCAUUCCCCUUCUACUCAGCCAUUCAGACGAGCAAACCCCUCCAGCCGCGGGUUAGUUUUUGGUUUGAUUUCCCUCCUGCCGCACCAAUCCCUUCCCCUUCUACGCAACCCCUUUGAGACAGCCACUGCAAUUGUUAUAUUCAUGUGCAAUGUUCAAACAACGAUCAUAUACGCUCUUGCAGUUAGCUAUGCAGUGAUGAUGCUGCAUGCCUCGUUCCGGAAGCUGACUCCUAUCAAGCAACCUACUAAAGGGAAACCGAAG